AAGAGAUUUCCUUAUCAAAUGUAUGUACACUUGGUCACUAACCGUACUAAAUAAUCUGAACUACAAAGCACACAGGGAGAGCUAUAGUAAGGAUAUCAUGACCUGUUUAAAGUUUCUCUGUCUGUCUGCAGCCAGGUUGCAAAUUAAAAGCCAAUCACUCUGUUGUGGCUGAGCUGUGUGCACACCUUAUGAUAACCUCUUAAAGUCCAAUGACGGAAUAAUUCCAUUCAUAUACCUAUCCA